UUUGCCAUUUGUACCACUGAUGUCGAGAGUUAAUGACUAUUUCGUUUCUAUCGGAUGUUACAAUUGGUUGGAGAUGGUCACAUGACAGUAAUUAGGAAAAUGGAACAAGUUAUAAAUAUGCGAAAACAUUUUACCAAUUUCAAAAAAGAAUUAUUGUUAGAAUUAAUAGAAAAAUAUAAAGAUGUGAUAGAAAAUAAAAAGACUAAUGCAAUGUCGAUAACACUAAGUUUCUGCGCAUGCAUUAACCCUGAGUUUCUCAAACAACCCAGCUACCAACUAGGGUAGUUGAUUUGACUCGGGGUUGUUUCAUAUGACUCGGAACGAAGUUGGUGAAUACGAAUUUAGAUAUAACUCCUCAUAUAACUCUAA
rnacentral:lncRNA from 1 species